rnacentral:rRNA from 1 species
GAUGAACGCUGGCGGCGUGCCUAAUACAUGCAAGUCGAGCGAACAGAUGAGGAGCUUGCUCCUCUGACGUUAGCGGCGGACGGGUGAGUAACACGUGGAUAACCUACCUAUAAGACUGGGAUAACUUCGGGAAACCGGAGCUAAUACCGGAUAAUAUAUUGAACCGCAUGGUUCAAUAGUGAAAGACGGUUUUGCUGUCACUUAUAGAUGGAUCCGCGCCGCAUUAGCUAGUUGGUAAGGUAACGGCUUACCAAGGCGACGAUGCGUAGCCGACCUGAGAGGGUGAUCGGCCACACUGGAACUGAGACACGGUCCAGACUCCUACGGGAGGCAGCAGUAGGGAAUCUUCCGCAAUGGGCGAAAGCCUGACGGAGCAACGCCGCGUGAGUGAUGAAGGUCUGCGGAUCGUAAAACUCUGUUAUUAGGGAAGAACAAAUGUGUAAGUAACGAUGCACGUCUGGACGGUACCUAAUCAGAAAGCCACGGCUAACUACGU